UUGUCGGAUAUUUUUUGCGUCGGGCUAUAUUGGGCCAAGCCCAAAUCGACCCAACUUGCAAUAAGAUUAGGGUUUUACUAUAAAUGCUGGUUACCGCAGACAAUCGACGUUUGCUAGCCUCACCAACAUUCAGUCGCCUUCUGCCUUCGGUACUGUGAAAACCUGCCGGCGUCGACAUGAGAGCUAAGUGGAAGAAGAAGAGAAUGAGGAGAUUGAAGAGGAAGCGACGAAAGAUGAGACAGAGAUCCAAGUAAAUCGAAAGAUUUUGCAGCGAAUCGUCUAUCUCGCGCCUCUGGAUCCCAUCCUGCUAGGGUUUUGUUUUCUAGGUUUUAUUUGAUCCUUUGUCCUUUUUAAUUUCUGUUGCUAUUACAAUAUUUGGUCAUACCUUUCCCAAUUCAGUUCUAUUAUCGAAUCCAAACGUUUUACAUUAGAGUUA